ACACUUAACGAACUUUCAAGCCUCAUCAGGAGCAUUUGAAGCCAAAUUAAUGAUCAGGCAAUAUAAAAUCUUCAGAAAAUAAUACGAUCGUAAAAAAUAUUGCAAGGCAGCCUUGUCGCAAAACUCUUAUUACAGCUUGAAGAAAUAAAUGUUGAAGCGACCGUGAUAAUUUUUCUGACCUGGGAGUUUUUCUAGCACCAUGAGGGAGCAUCAGGAGGGAGUGGCACAUUUUUUGAUGAAUUUGUGACACAUUACCGUCACAGGAGAGAAGAGUUAAUAUAUAAUGAAUGAAUGUGACAAAUAAGCAUUACAUAUCCUAUUGCAUUUGACUGGAACCUGGGAUCGCCAGAAACAAGUGGGGCCUGACCAGAAGCUGCACUUAGAUACACAUGAUGUUAGAUAGGAAAACUGUUGUAGAGAUGAACCAUAGCACAUUCUAACGGAGAAACACAUGUUUGUGAUAAUUGGUCCUGGUUAAGACAGUCUAGAGCUGCAACUCUCGUUUGCUGUCAGGAUAUAUGACACUUCGCGUUGUAUUCUGCUUUCUUCUCAUCCGACAUUGGCAUACCAUGAUUGAACACUUUUCCUUUUAGGAUCGUCCGUUUGAUUAUGUGGGAUAUUAGCACUACCAUCCAUAGUUGUGUUUGUUAGGUCCUUAAAUGGGGUACAUUCUCUUGAUGUAAACAGGGGCACAUUCAUUUUUCUUCUCUUACUCAUCUGCAGAUAGAGAAGUACAAAUGUCAAACAAUAUAUAAAAGGUAAAGAGAGAGUGGUGAAGAUCAUUUAUGCAGGGCAACAUAGUCAUGUGAACCAGAUCCUGACUAUUAUGUACAAAGCAUCACCAAUUAGUUUCUUAAAAAUAAAAUAAAGAUUGAGCAUUAACCUCUAUAUGACUUGGGAGCAAUGUACGUGUAUAUCUCACAGAAUUCAAGGUGCGUAGUAUAAAGAAAAGAGCCCGUGUAUGCAUGCUAUACGUUGAGCCUGCCUGGGUGUCGGCGACCACACUUGCAUAUAGCGACGACCAGUCCUCGCCUAUGAUAACAUGUGUGAUUCUUUACCCGGGGCCGAUAGGGUGGUAGAACAUGAACAUAUUGAUGACCGGAUCACCAAAUAUAGUGGCAAAUACUGUGACUGCCAAACACAUCGUGGUUUUCACAAUAUUGUAGAAAACUGUAGCCACACACUCACGCACUUAC
rnacentral:lncRNA from 1 species